rnacentral:rRNA from 1 species
GGCGACUGUUUAGCAAAAACACAGGUCUCUGCGAAGCCGUAAGGCGAAGUAUAGGGGCUGACGCCUGCCCGGUGCUGGAAGGUUAAGAGGAGCGCUUAGCGUAAGCGAAGGUGCGAAUUGAAGCCCAAGUAAACGGCGGCCGUAACUAUAACGGUCCUAAGGUAGCGAAAUUCCUUGUCGGGUAAGUUCCGACCCGCACGAAAGGCGCAACGAUCUGGGCACUGUCUCAACGAGAGACUCGGUGAAAUUAUAGUACCUGUGAAGAUGCAGGUUACCCGCGACAGGACGGAAAGACCCCGUGGAGCUUUACUGCGAGACCUACAAGUCGAGCAGGGACGAAAGUCGGGCUUAGUGAUCCGGUGGUUCCGCAUGGAAGGGCCAUCGCUCAACGGAUAAAAGCUACCCCGGGGAUAACAGGCUUAUCUCCCCCAAGAGUCCACAUCGACGGGGAGGUUUGGCACCUCGAUGUCGGCUCAUCGCAUCCUGGGGCUGUAGUC